rnacentral:rRNA from 1 species
UACGAAGGGGGCGAGCGUUGUUCGGAAUCACUCGGCGUAAAGCGCACGUAGGCGGCGCGUUAAGUCAGGGGUGAAAUCCUGGAGCUCAACUCCAGAACUGCCUUUGAUACUGGCGUGCUCGAGUGUGGGAGAGGUUGGUGGAACUCCGAGUGUAGAGGUGAAAUUCGUAGAUAUUCGGAAGAACACCAGUGGCGAAGGCGGCCAACUGGCCCAUUACUGACGCUGAGGUGCGAAAGCGUGGGGAGCAAACAGG